rnacentral:sRNA from 1 species
GGAAAGCUGGGUGGAGGAAGAGCUCCCAAAUCCAACGUGGAAUUCUCUUGGUGACAACUCCCCAUUGAAGAAUGUUCCUUUCUUCUCUAGAAAGGAGGGCACCUUUCACGUGGUAGUUUUUGUCUCCUGUUUUCCGGGAGAGAAGGAAGAUCAGAGUGCCCUCGUUGCAUCUGCUGUUUUCAAGUUGCCUUUAGCUUGAGCCUGCUCAUCAGAAUUAGCCACAUGUCCCUGAACCAACUACAACGGAGGCUGGAAUAUGCAGUCUUCUCCAGCAUCUGGGAGAGGAAAGUGAACAUGGAGCAUUGUCUUGGCUGUGGUGGCCAACAAACAUUGGGACAGAACUUGAUUGUGGGGGCACCAGUGGGAGGCGAGUGUUACAAUCCGAUGGCUUCACUUGUGAGCUAUCUUCAUGAUAAUAUAGGCUAAACCUGAGCCCUGGGCUCCAGGACAGACA